rnacentral:rRNA from 1 species
CCUACGGGUGGCUGCAGUAAGGAAUAUUGGACAAUGGCGGAGACGCUGAUCCAGCUAUCCCGCGUGCAGGAUGACGGCCCUACGGGUUGUAAACUGCUUUAGACUGGGGCGAAAAAGUGGGAUUUAUCCUACAUUGACGGUACCAGUAAAAUAAGCACCGGCUAACUCCGUGCCAGCAGCCGCGGUAAUACGGAGGGUGCAGGCGUUAUCCGGAAUCACUGGGUCUAAGGCGGCUGGAUGCGUCUGGUUAGAAAGGCCAUGGCUCAACUAUGGGAUUGCUUUUGAUACUGGCGAGCUUGGAUUAGGACGAGGUUGGCGGAAUGUGGCAAGUAGCGGUGAAAUGCAUAGAUAUGCCAUAGAAUACCGAUUGCGAAGGCAGCUGACUAGACCUAUAUUGACGCUGAGGCACGAAAGCGUGGGGAGCGAACAGGAUUAGAUACCCCGGUAGUC